UGCUCUUAAGUAUAAUUUGUACAUUUGUCUUCCAAACAAAAAGUUUCGAACAUCGAAAAGAGUAA
rnacentral:tRNA from 1 species